rnacentral:rRNA from 1 species
CGCUAUCAGAUGAGCCUAGGUCGGAUUAGCUAGUUGGUGAGGUAAUGGCUCACCAAGGCGACGAUCCGUAACUGGUCUGAGAGGAUGAUCAGUCACACUGGAACUGAGACACGGUCCAGACUCCUACGGGAGGCAGCAGUGGGGAAUAUUGGACAAUGGGCGAAAGCCUGAUCCAGACGUGCCGCGUGUGUGAAGAAGGUCUUCGGAUUGUAAAGCAAUGAAGUUGGGAGGAAGGGCAGUUACCUAAUACGUGAU